CACGUAGGGCGCAAGCGUUGUCCGGAAUUAUUGGGCGUAAAGAGCUCGUAGGCGGUCUGUUACGUCUGCCGUGAAAACCCAGGGCUUAACCCUGGGCUUGCAGUGGAUACGGGCAGACUAGAGGCAGGUAGGGGAGAAUGGAAUUCCCGGUGUAGCGGUGAAAUGCGCAGAUAUCGGGAGGAACACCGGUGGCGAAGGCGGUUCUCUGGGCCAUUACUGACGCUGAGGAGCGAAAGCGUGGGGAGCGAACAGG
rnacentral:rRNA from 1 species